rnacentral:snRNA from 1 species
GGGUGUGUGGAUGAUCUGGCUGCAAUAUCUAUCACCCCACUGAUCAGCAGGGUUGAUUCAGCUGAUGUGGCUGUCCAGGCAGGUGACCUCUCCUCUCUCACUGCUCCAUGUGGGUCCCUCCUGAAGCUGCACACUCAGUCAAAGAGGUCAAUCAUCCCCAAUAGAGGACCUUUCUUCGGUGAAGGGUAUACGAGUAGCUGUGCUUCCCUGCUAGAACCUCCAAAUGAGAUCUCAAGAAGAAGAAGAGAAAGAUCUCAAGAAAGAUGUAAAAUCCAGUUCUGAGGUCAACCUCU